rnacentral:rRNA from 1 species
AUUGAACGCUGGCGGCAGGCCUAACACAUGCAAGUCGAGUGAGCGGCGGACGGGUGAGUAAUGUCUGGGAAACUGCCUGAUGGAGGGGGAUAACUACUGGAAACGGUAGCUAAUACCGCAUCCCAUCAGAUGUGCCCAGAUGGGAUUAGCUAGUAGGUGGGGUAACGGCUCACUUAGGCGACGCUCCCUAGCUGGUCUGAGAGGAUGACCAGCCAAACGGGAACUGAGACACGGUCCAGACUCCUACGGGAGGAAGCAGUGGGGAAUAUUGCACAAUGGGCGAGAGCCUGAUGCAGCCAUGCCGCGUGUGUGAAGAAGGCCUUCGGGUUGUAAAGCACUUUCAGCGGGGAGGCGUUACCCGCAGAAGAAGCACCGGCUAACUCCGUGCCAGCAGCCGCGUAAUAC